rnacentral:tRNA from 1 species
CCCUUCGUGGUGUAGUGGUCAGCACGCUCGACGAGUAACCGAGAGGUCCGUGGUUCGAUUCCCGGCGAUGGCG